CCCUUAGAUGUCCUGGGCCGCACGCGUGCUACACUGACGCCUACAGCGAGUACUUCCCAGCCCCGAGAGGCGGCUGGUAAUCAGCAAUAGGCGUCGUGAUGGGGAUAGAUCUUUGGAAUUCUGGAUCUUGAACGAGGAAUGCCUAGUAAGCGCAGGUCAUUAGCCUGCGCUGAUUACGUCCCUGCCCUUUGUACACACCGCCCGUCGCUCCUACCGAUUUCGAGUGGUCCGGUGAAUCUUUCGGACUGCGCGCAGCUUCGUGCCGUGUCGCGGAAAGUCAGGUAAACCUAAUCACUUAGAGGAAGGACAAGUCGUANCA
rnacentral:rRNA from 1 species